UACGGGGGGAGCAAGCGUUGUUCGGAUUUACUGGGCGUAAAGGGCGCGUAGGCGGCCAGCGCAAGUCAGUUGUGAAAUCUCCGGGCUUAACUCGGAACGGUCAACUGAUACUGCGCGGCUAGAGUGCAGAAGGGGCAACUGGAAUUCUCGGUGUAGCGGUGAAAUGCGCAGAUAUCAGGAAGAACACCCGUGGCUAAGGCGGCUCUCUAGUACGGUACUGACGCUGAGACGCGAAAGCGUGGGGAGCGAACAGG
rnacentral:rRNA from 1 species